AAUUAACGCUGGCGGCAUGCCUAACACAUGCAAGUCGCACGAGAAAGCCCCUUUCGGGGGGCAAGUAAAGUGGCGCACGGGUGAGUAACGCGUGGAUAAUCUACCUCGUUCUGGGGGAUAACCCAUCGAAAGGUGGGCUAAUACCGCAUAAUCCGGCUGAAUCUUGGUUUGGUCGGCAAAGGUGGCCUCUUCAUGAAAGCUACCGGGAAGAGAUGAGUCCGCGUCCCAUUAGCUUGUUGGUAGGGUAACGGCCUACCAAGGCGACGAUGGGUAGCUGGUCUGAGAGGACGAUCAGCCACACUGGAACUGGUACACGGUCCAGACUCCUACGGGAGGCAGCAGUGAGGAAUAUUGCGCAAUGGGGGAAACCCUGACGCAGCGAUGCCGCGUGAGUGAAGAAGGCCUUCGGGUCGUAAAGCUCUGUCAAGUGGGAAGAAUAGCGGCGGGACGAAUAAUCCCGUCGUGUGACGGUACCACUGAAGGAAGCACCGGCUAACUCCGUGCCAGCAGCCGCGGUAAGACGGAGGGUGCAAGCGUUAUUCGGAUUUAUUGGGCGUAAAGAGCGUGUAGGCGGCCGGUCAAGCCAGAUGUGAAAGCCCAGGGCUUAACCCUGGAAGUGCAUUUGGAACUGGUUGGCUUGAGUUCGGGAGAGGGAAGUGGAAUUCCGGGUGUAGAGGUGAAAUUCGUAGAUAUCUGGAGGAACACCGGUGGCGA
rnacentral:rRNA from 1 species